ACGGAGGGUGCGAGCGUUGUCCGGAAUCACUGGGCGUAAAGGGCGCGUAGGCGGCCGAGCAAGGUCGCGGUGAAAGCCCGGGGCUCAACCCCGGGUCGGCCGUGGCAACUACUCGGCUCGAGCACGGUAGAGGCGGAUGGAAUUCCCGGUGUAGCGGUGAAAUGUGUAGAGAUCGGGAGGAACACCGGUGGCGAAGGCAGGUCUCUGGGCAGUUUCUGACACUGAUGCGCGACAGCGUGGGGAGCAAACAGGA
rnacentral:rRNA from 1 species